rnacentral:ribozyme from 13 species
AUGCGAAAAAAAAAAAAAAAAAAAAAAAAAAAAAAAAAAAAAAAAAAAA